CUGAAUAUAGUAUACAAAAGAUUCAAUAGAAGUUAUAAUUUCAUAAAAUGAUAAUGCUGUUACGUCAUAGUAGAACGAUAGCUAUAACCUAACAAUUUUAAGUGGAACAUUUUAAAACAGAUUCGCGACCGCACGAAGCAUGAAAGUGCAACGCGUUGAUGCGUUAAUGAAGUUAUUACUUCUGCCUCGUGUAACUAGUUUACCGUGCACUGUGAUUCUGCUGACACAGCCAAUUAUCGAGCGUUGCAAUUAUACCGAAUCGAUAAUUUCAACCAGCCCACGAUUCAGUGGCGCUUCCUGAAACGUAAAGUUCCCAGUUCAACCGGAAGUUCUGCUCGGUUCUGAAACCUAAGUUGACCCCUCACUUUCUACCCGUCACGUCGACGCCAACUUUUGGUCACAGUGUAAUUAAAGCGAAUAAAUCGAUGUCACGAUUACCACAUCUCUCUUUCUGGAAAGAUCGUGUCACACGGUGCAUUUCAUUAGAAAUUCCCAUUCUGAUACACUUUCAACCGGUUAAAUUAUUUAAAUUUCUGUUGAGUUUGAAUUCAUACCUUUGAACAAACAUAAUUUUUAUAUACACGAAAAGAUACAGCUAAACCAAACCGUACUCGUUACAUAUUCUACAUACUAUUUUUAUAAUGCAAAUACACGAAAUGUCUCUAAGAAAUACAAUAACGUACAAGAUUUUUACGUUUUCUAAUGAAUUUAUGGUAUAACACAACAGGAAAACGAUUUUAUUUUCUUUCAGUAAAAUUGUAGACGCGGGACAAAUAGAAAGGUGGAAUAUAAAACGGAGUGAACGGAAAAAUUUGAUGGAGAAAUUUUACGACGUAGAUGACGCUUUGAAUCGUGGCAGAGAUAUACGGCAACAAUGUUGGUAUCGACGACCGCGAAGCUUUGUGAAGCCGGCAUGCAAAAUGACCAACAAAAUCGCUUUAAUCUCGCCCCUUUCUUUUUUCUUUACCGAAACACGCUGCGAUGCAGCAACUAAGUUUUUAGUUCCCUCUAUGAGCUACUGAGCACAUUCGUUCACUCAGGACAAAAGAGUUUCAAGGCAUAUCAUUGAAAGAUAAAGCGGCGUGCCACGCUGAAAAGGGAGCCACACAUGAAACGAAAGAAUGGCACUUUGCACAGCAAAAUGGGACGGGUACGAGACCAUGAAUAUUUCCAGUAGGAAAUAUUUAGAACCGUAUUAGGAACCGUAAAGAAAUUAUUAGAUCCCCCGAAAAGUUUGUAACAUUUUUAACAGUGGAUACAUUUCAGUAUUUGGUAGGGUUGGAUGAGGAUUUAUCACGAAUUUCUACUAAAUAUCGAAAUUCUAAGUUUGGAAAAAUACCAGUUCUGUUUCGAAGGAGGAACUGGAAUUGAUUAACGUUAGCCAUUUGAACCAUCCAAUCGAA